GACAGAGGGUGCAAACGUUGUUCGGAUUUACUGGGCGUAAAGCGCGUGUAGGCGGCUUCGCAAGUUGGAUGUGAAAUCCCCCGGCUCAACCGGGGAAGUGCCCCUGAUACUGAUGGCCUUGAGGGAGGUAGGGGCGUGCGGAACUUCCGGUGGAGCGGUGAAAUGCGUAGAUAUCGGAAGGAACACCGGUGGCGAAAGCGGCGCGCUGGACCUCUUCUGACGCUGAGGCGCGAAAGCCAGGGGAGCGAACGGG
rnacentral:rRNA from 1 species